UCACCACUCCUUAGCAGUCCCUCAAAGGGUGUGUAUUUUUGUGCUUUUUCUUCAGAACAAAGCCCUUUCCCCCCCACAAAGGAGCCAGAAAACAAACAAAAUCUUUGAGAAACAAAACUGUGUAACAAUGAUCUUUUGUAUUCAAGAGAUAGCACAAACACACUUACUUAAAAAACAAAAUUGUUCCUUUAAAAUGUUGUAAAAUGUACAAAUAAUAACAGUAAAUUGCUGUGUAUCUCAGCAGCACCACAUUACUGUUUGCUAUUAAGUUUGCAAUGGAUAGCACUUGUUACUUAACAGCAUAGUAAAUAAUCAGAUAACAUCCCCAUAAAGAGGCUGGAUCUGAUUCGCCUCCCACUUAGACUGCUUUCAUGCUGGUGUGUGCCCAUUGACUUAAUGGGGUUAAUCUUGAUUUACGACAGUGCAAAUGGAAAGGUGAAUGAAAGACCACGGCAAGCAAGCUGGAGAGGAUGCUGUAGGCUGUGGGCUGGAUCCUGACUGCAAUAUCACACUGCCAGGCUGACAGUAGAACCACCGAAACUGGAGGUAUUUUGCUCCAUCCUUUGCCUAAAGGCAACCCACAGAAGGUCCUAGGGGCACUUAUUGCAUGCACAGAAGCUGGAGACAGAAAUGAGUCAAUGACUUUUUGAGGUGGGCUUUCAGAAACCAUGUGGCUUAAAGGUUGGUGCAAACUCCAGUGCCUCCAUUUUAACACACAACACAAAGUCAAAUGGAAAUCUGCUUUGUCUGCCAAGUCUUGUCUUGCUCCAGUUCAUGACUCUUAAGUUAUUGACCCCAAAUCUGAGCAUCACAACUUGCAAACGUUGCUGGUCAGGCAGAAUUAGGUCUCAUAUAAAGUACACAGUGCACUUGGGUGGAUGUCAGGUCCUGGAGGAGUGAUAUUAGAGGACAGAAGAGAGAACAGCUUCUUGCACAGUCAGGGAGUGGAUGAGAGAUGGGUCCCGGGGUGCCCAUGCUUUCUGGUGAGCCAGCAGUGUGAUGCUCCCCAGGCCAUCCUGAUUUCCCACUCACAGCUGGGCAGCCCACUGGUGGGGAUCUGCAGAGGUGUGCACGUUUACGUGCAUCUUUCUCUUUCAACAUGCAACAAUAGGCUCCUCAGAUGCUCUUGGGUGACAGCAACUGAGCUCAGCAGAAGCAGGGCAGCUCCCACCAGCAGCACAGCUGGUCCUCCAGGACACCCCUCUGGGAGAAAUAGCACGGCCUGGGCUUUUGGAGACAGUCCUCUUGCAUCGCUUUUGUUUUGAGGACGAACCAAAUGCCACUUUGCUACUGAUCAUUUGGAUAGAAACCUACAAAACAUCCAGCGGGGUCAGACCAAAUCACCCAGAAUCGUCUCUGGCAUCCGGCAAGAGCAGAUGCUUCAG
rnacentral:lncRNA from 1 species